rnacentral:sRNA from 1 species
GGUAAUAGGUGCCUUCAGUUGACCCCCUCAAGGUCGGAUUAUGAAGCUUAGAGA